rnacentral:rRNA from 1 species
AGUGGAUGGGGAGCAACCUAGUUGUGCGUGUGUAAAGGUAGUGCCAAGAAAAGCGGUGAUCAUGAUGAAAAUCAAUUCCCGGUACCCGAAACCGACACAGGUGGGCAAGUAGAGAAUACUAAGGGGCGCGAGGUAACUCUCUCCAAGGAACUCGGCAAAAUGACCCCGUAACUUAGGGAGAAGGGGUGCCACCGAGAGGUGGUCGCAGUGAAGAGGCCCAGGCGACUGUUUAGCAAAAACAUAGGUCUCUGCAAACUCGAAAGAGGAGGUAUAGGGGCUGACGCCUGCCCAGUGCCGGAAGGUUAAAGAAGUUGGUCAGUCUUAGGAUGAAGCUAGCGACUGAAGCCCCGGUGAACGGCGGCCGUAACUAUAACGGUCCUAAGGUAGCGAAAUUCCUUGUCGGGUAAGUUACGACCCGCACGAAAGGCGUAACGAUCUGGGCGCUGUCUCGGAGAGAGGCUCGGCGAAAUAGGAUUGUCUGUGAAGAUACGGACUACCUGCAUUUGGACAGAAAGACCCUAUGAAGCUUUACUAUAGCUUGGAAUUGUGUUCGGGCUUCCUGUGCGCAGGAUAGGAGGGAGGCGUAGAAGGUAUUCUUGUGGGGAUACUGGAGCCAACGGUGAGAUACCACUCUCAGGAGGCUAGAAUUCUAACUUAAUUAAGGACAGUUUCAGGUGGGUAGUUUGACUGGGGCGGUCGCCUCCAAAAAGGUAACGGAGGCGUACAAAGGUUCCCUCAGACUGGUUGGAAAUCAGUCGAAGAGUGCAAAGGCAGAAGGGAGCUUGACUGCGAGAAGUACAGUUCGAGCAGGGUGGAAACACGGUCUUAGUGAUCCGACGGUGCUGUGUGGAAGGGCCGUCGCUCAACGGAUAAAAGUUACUCUAGGAUAACAGGCUGAUCUCCCCCAAGAGUUCACAUCGACGGGGAGGUUUGGCACCUCGAUGUCGGCUCAUCGCAACCUGGGGCGGAAGUACGUCCCAAGGGUUGGGCUGUUCGCCCAUUAAAGCGGUACGUGAGCUGGGUUCAGAACGUCGUGAGACAGUUCGGUCCAUAUCCGAUGUAGGCGUGAGAAUAUUGAGAGGAGCCUUCCUUAGUACGAGAGGACCGGGAAGGACGCACCGCUGGUGUACCUGUUAUGAUGCCAAUUGUAAACGCAGGGUAGCCAAGUGCGGAGAGGAUAACCGCUGAAAGCAUCUAAGUGGGAAGCCCACCUCAAGAUGAGUAUUCUGGUGUAAGGUCACGGGAAGACGACCCGUAAAUAGGCACGAGGUGGAAGUGCAGAGAUGUAUGAAGCCGAAGUGUACUAAUAGACCGUCGGCUUGACCU